rnacentral:rRNA from 1 species
GAUGAACGCUGGCGGCGUGCCUAAUACAUGCAAGUCGAGCGAACGGACGAGAAGCUUGCUUCUCUGAUGUUAGCGGCGGACGGGUGAGUAACACGUGGAUACCCUACCUAUAAGACUGGGAUAACUUCGGGAACCCGGAGCUAAUACCGGAUGAUAUUUUGAGCCGCAUGGUUCAAAAGUGAAAGACGGUCUUGCUGUCACUUAUAGAUGGAUCCGCGCUGCAUUAGCUAGUUGGUAAGGUAACGGCUUACCAAGGCAACGAUGCAUAGCCGACCUGAGAGGGUGAUCGGCCACACUGGAACUGAGACACGGUCCAGACUCCUACGGGAGGCAGCAGUAGGGAAUCUUCCGCAAUGGGCGAAAGCCUGACGGAGCAACGCCGCGUGAGUGAUGAAGGUCUUCGGAUCGUAAAACUCUGUUAUUAGGGAAGAACAUAUGUGUAAGUAACUGUGCACAUCUUGACGGUACCUAAUCAGAAAGCCACGGCUAACUACGUG